rnacentral:rRNA from 1 species
AGCGAACGCUGGCGGCAGGCCUAACACAUGCAAGUCGAACGAACUCUUCGGAGUUAGUGGCGGACGGGUGAGUAACACGUGGGAACGUGCCUUUAGGUUCGGAAUAACUCAGGGAAACUUGUGCUAAUACCGAAUGUGCCCUUCGGGGGAAAGAUUUAUCGCCUUUAGAGCGGCCCGCGUCUGAUUAGCUAGUUGGUGAGGUAAAGGCUCACCAAGGCGACGAUCAGUAGCUGGUCUGAGAGGAUGAUCAGCCACAUUGGGACUGAGACACGGCCCAAACUCCUACGGGAGGCAGCAGUGGGGAAUCUUGCGCAAUGGGCGAAAGCCUGACGCAGCCAUGCCGCGUGAAUGAUGAAGGUCUUAGGAUUGUAAAAUUCUUUCACCGGGGACGAUAAUGACGGUACCCGGAGAAGAAACCCCGGCUAACUUCGU